rnacentral:tRNA from 1 species
UCCCUCUUAGCUCAGUGGUAGAGCAGACGUGCAUUGCGUUGUGUCGAUGGUUCGAUCCCAUCAGAGGGAA